rnacentral:rRNA from 1 species
UAAAGUAAGAAAGAGCGUAUGGCGGAUGCCUAGGCACAGAGAGGCGAAGAAGGACGCAGCAAACAGCGAAAUGCGACGGUUAGCAGUAAGCAUGCAACGAUCCGUCGAUGUCCGAAUGGGGGAACCCACCUGGAGUAGAGACCAGGUAUCCUGAAGUGAAUAAAUAGCUUCAGAGAGGCGAGACUCAGGGAACUGAAACAUCUAAGUACCUGAAGGAAGAGAAAAUAAACGAAUGAUUCCCUAAGUAGCGGCGAGCGAAAGGGGAAGAGCCCAAACCGAUCUUAGGAUCGGGGUUGUAGGACUGUCGGCAAAGAGCAAGAAAUCAUUAUAGGCGAACGGAAUGGGAAGUCCGGCGAAACAGGGUGACAGCCCCGUAGCCGAAAUAGUGAAGAAGCACGAGACAGCACCUGAGUACGGCGGGACACGAGGAAUCCUGUCGGAAUCCACCAGGACCAUCUGGUAAGGCUAAAUACUCCUCUGUGACCGAUAGUGAACCAGUACCGUGAGGGAAAGGUGAAAAGAACCCCGGGAGGGGAGUGAAAUAGAACCUGAAACCAUAUGCUUACAAGAAGUUAGAGCCCGUUAAAGGGUGAUAGCGUGCCUUUUGUAGAAUGAACCGGCGAGUUACGAUAUGGAGCGAGGUUAAGCAGGAUAUGCGGAGCCGAAGCGAAAGCGAGUCUUAAUAGGGCGAAAGUUGCAUGUCGUAGACCCGAAACCGAGUGAUCUAGCCAUGACCAGGUUGAAGUUGGGGUAAAACCCGAUGGAGGACCGAACCGACCCCCGUUGAAACGUUGGCGGAUGAGUUGUGGCUAGGGGUGAAAUUCCAAUCGAACUCGGAGAUAGCUGGUUCUCCCCGAAAUAGCUUUAGGGCUAGCGUCGAGGUAAAGUCGUGUGAAGGUAGAGCACUGAAUAUGUGAUGGCCCCAUCUCGGGGUACUGAACAUAAUCAAACUCCGAAUGUCACAAAGAUAUACUCGGCAGUCAGACAGUGGGUGAUAAGGUCCAUUGUCAAAAGGGAAACAGCCCAGACCAUCAGCUAAGGUCCCAAAAUAUAUACUAAGUGGAAAAGGAUGUGGAGAUGUCCAGACAACUAGGAGGUUGGCUCAGAAGCAGCCAUCCUUUAAAGAGUGCGUAACAGCUCACUAGUCGAAUGACUCUGCGCCGAUAAUUUACCGGGGCUAAGUAUAUUACCGAAGCUAUGGAUUUACGCGUAAGCGUGAGUGGUAGGGGAGCGUUCUAUGUGCGGAGAAGCGGUACCGUAAGGAGCCGUGGAGCGCAUAGAAGAGAGAAUGCCGGUGUGAGUAGCGAAACGUGGGUGAGAAUCCCACGCACCGAAAACCCAAGGUUUCCAGAGGAAGGUUCGUCCGCUCUGGGUAAGUCGGGACCUAAGGCGAGGCCGAGAGGCGUAGUCGAUGGACAACAGGUAGAGAUUCCUGUACUUACGGUAUGAAUGAUGGAGUGACGGAGAAGGCUAGCGGAUCCUGCUGAUGGAAAUGCAGGUGCAAGCGAGGUAGCCGACAGCCAGGCAAAUCCGGCUGUCGAAAGGCAAAGGCGUGAGGCGUAUGGAAAGCUGCGGCAAGUACAGAAGUCCGUGAAGCCAGCUUCCAAGAAAAGCUUCUAGUGAUAAUCAUACAGUAACCCGUACCGAAAAUGGACACACAUGGGUGAGGAGAGAAUCCUAAGGUGAGCGAGAGAACUAUAGCUAAGGAACUCUGCAAAAUGACUCCGUAACUUAGGGAUAAGGAGUGCUCAUAGAGAUAUGAGCCGCAGUGAAACGGCCCAAGCGACUGUUUACCAAAAACACAGCUCUAUGCUAAGUCGAAAGACGACGUAUAUGGGGUGACGCCUGCCCGGUGCUGGAAGGUUAAGAGGAUGUGUCAGCGCAAGCGAAGCAUUGAAUUGAAGCCCCAGUAAACGGCGGCCGUAACUAUAACGGUCCUAAGGUAGCGAAAUUCCUUGUCAGGUAAGUUCU